UUGGAGGGCAAGUCUGGUGCCAGCAGCCGCGGUAAUUCCAGCUCCAAUAGCGUAUAUUAAAGUUGUUGCAGUUAAAAAGCUCGUAGUUGAAUUUUAGGCCUGGCCGGGCGGUCCGUCUUUGGCGAGUACUGUCCUGUGUCGGGUCCACCUUCUGGUGAACCAGUAUGUCCUUUAUUGGGUGUGCCGGGGAGCCAGGACCAUUACCUUGAAAAAAUUAGAGUGUUUAAAGCAGGCAUUUGCUUGAAUAGAUUAGCAUGGAAUAAUAGAAUAGGACGUUGUGGUUCUAUUUUGUUGGUUUCUAGGACCACCGUAAUGAUUAAUAGGGAUAGUUGGGGGCAUUAGUAUUCAAUUGUCAGAGGUGAAAUUCUUGGAUUUAUUGAAGACUAACUAUUGCGAAAGCAUUUGCCAAGGAUGUUUUCAUUAAUCAAGAACGAAAGUUAGGGGAUCGAAGACGAUCAGAUACCGUCGUAGUCUUAACCAUAAACUAUGCCGACUAGGAAUCGGGCGACGUUAUUUUCAUGACUCGCUCGGCGCCUUAUGGGAAACCAAAGUGUUUGGGUUC
rnacentral:rRNA from 1 species